rnacentral:lncRNA from 1 species
GAGAGAAGGAACACAAGCAGGGGGAGUGAGAGAGGGAGAAGCAGGCUCUCUGCUGAGCACGGAGCCCUAUGCGUGGCUUGAUCCCAGGACCCUGGGGAUCAUGACCUGAGCCUAAGGAAGACGCUUAACGACUGAGCCACCCAGGUGCUCCUAUGCCAUCAUUUCUUAUUUAAAUCCCCUAUUAAAUCCGUAGCGUGUCCACGGAGAUGGACCUCCUUGCAUAUAUGUCAUGCAAUCAUUGUGUCAAAGGGUAUAUGUAUUUCAAAUUUUUAUAGACAUUGCGAAAAUGUAUGUGCAGAGAGCGUUUGCAGGGAAAGAACUCUAAUCCAGCCUCUUCUUCCUCCAUCCCCAGAUUUCAAGUCCUCAGCAAGAUGAGAAGUGUGUGUGGGGGCAACAGACAUUAUAUAGUGCCCUUGCUUUGGGGGAGGCUAACAGGGGAGGGACAGAGCCACCGGUCUGACCAGGCAGCACCUCAGAAACAACCCCACAAUCAGCCUCAGUUUACCCAUCUGUAAAGUGA